GCAAACCGGGGGAACUGAAACAUCUAAGUACCCCGAGGAGAAGAAAUCAACCGAGAUUCCGGUAGUAGCGGCGAGCGAACCUGGAUUAGCCCUUAAGCACUCGGUGAAGUAGGUGAACAAGCUGGAAAGCUUGGCGAUACAGGGUGAUAGCCCCGUAACCGACGCUUCAUCGAGCGUGAAAUCGAGUAGGGCGGGACACGUGAUAUCCUGUCUGAAUAUGGGGGGACCAUCCUCCAAGGCUAAAUACUCCUGACUGACCGAUAGUGAACCAGUACCGUGAGGGAAAGGCGAAAAGAACCCCUGUGAGGGGAGUGAAAUAGAACCUGAAACCGUGUACGUACAAGCAGUAGGAGCACCUUCGUGGUGUGACUGCGUACCUUUUGUAUAAUGGGUCAGCGACUUAUAUUCAGUGGCAAGGUUAACCGUAUAGGGGAGCCGUAGCGAAAGCGAGUCUUAACUGGGCGCUCAGUCUCUGGAUAUAGACCCGAAACCGGGUGAUCUAGCCAUGGGCAGGUUGAAGGUUGAGUAACAUCAACUGGAGGACCGAACCGACUAAUGUUGAAAAAUUAGCGGAUGACUUGUGGCUAGGGGUGAAAGGCCAAUCAAACUCGGAGAUAGCUGGUUCUCCCCGAAAGCUAUUUAGGUAGCGCCUCGGACGAAUACUACUGGGGGUAGAGCACUGUUAAGGCUAGGGGGUCAUCCCGACUUACCAACCCUUUGCAAACUCCGAAUACCAGUAAGUACUAUCCGGGAGACACACGGCGGGUGCUAACGUCCGUCGUGGAGAGGGAAACAACCCAGACCGCCAGCUAAGGUCCCAAAGUAUUGCUAAGUGGGAAACGAUGUGGGAAGGCUCAGACAGCUAGGAUGUUGGCUUAGAAGCAGCCAUCAUUUAAAGAAAGCGUAAUAGCUCACUAGUCGAGUCGGCCUGCGCGGAAGAUGUAACGGGGCUAAGCAAUACACCGAAGCUGCGGCAAUGUCUUUUAGACAUUGGGUAGGGGAGCGUUCUGUAAGCCGUUGAAGGUGAAUCGUAAGGUUUGCUGGAGGUAUCAGAAGUGCGAAUGCUGACAUGAGUAACGACAAAGGGGGUGAAAAACCUCCUCGCCGGAAGACCAAGGGUUCCUGUCCAACGUUAAUCGGGGCAGGGUGAGUCGACCCCUAAGGUGAGGCCGAAAGGCGUAAUCGAUGGGAAACGGGUUAAUAUUCCCGUACUUCUGACUAUUGCGAUGGGGGGACGGAGAAGGCUAGGUGGGCCAGGCGACGGUUGUCCUGGUUCAAGUGCGUAGGCUUGAGAGUUAGGUAAAUCCGGCUCUCUCUAAGGCUGAGACACGACGUCGAGCUGCUACGGCAGUGAAGUCAUUGAUGCCAUGCUUCCAGGAAAAGCCUCUAAGCUUCAGAUAGUCAGGAAUCGUACCCCAAACCGACACAGGUGGUCGGGUAGAGAAUACCAAGGCGCUUGAGAGAACUCGGGUGAAGGAACUAGGCAAAAUGGUACCGUAACUUCGGGAGAAGGUACGCUCUUGAUGGUGAAGUCCCUCGCGGAUGGAGCUGACGAGAGUCGCAGAUACCAGGUGGCUGCAACUGUUUAUUAAAAACACAGCACUGUGCAAAAUCGCAAGAUGACGUAUACGGUGUGACGCCUGCCCGGUGCCGGAAGGUUAAUUGAUGGGGUUAGCGCAAGCGAAGCUCUUGAUCGAAGCCCCGGUAAACGGCGGCCGUAACUAUAACGGUCCUAAGGUAGCGAAAUUCCUUGUCGGGUAAGUUCCGACCUGCACGAAUGGCGUAAUGAUGGCCACGCUGUCUCCACCCGAGACUCAGUGAAAUUGAAAUCGCUGUGAAGAUGCAGUGUACCCGCGGCUAGACGGAAAGACCCCGUGAACCUUUACUACAGCUUGGCACUGAACAUUGAACCUACAUGUGUAGGAUAGGUGGGAGGCUAUGAAGACGUGACGCCAGUUGCGUUGGAGCCGUCCUUGAAAUACCACCCUUGUAUGUUUGAUGUUCUAACUUAGACCCAUUAUCUGGGUUGAGGACAGUGCCUGGUGGGUAGUUUGACUGGGGCGGUCUCCUCCCAAAGAGUAACGGAGGAGCACGAAGGUGGGCUAAUCACGGUUGGACAUCGUGAGGUUAGUGCAAUGGCAUAAGCCCGCUUAACUGCGAGAAUGACGGUUCGAGCAGGUGCGAAAGCAGGUCAUAGUGAUCCGGUGGUUCUGUAUGGAAGGGCCAUCGCUCAACGGAUAAAAGGUACUCCGGGGAUAACAGGCUGAUACCGCCCAAGAGUUCAUAUCGACGGCGGUGUUUGGCACCUCGAUGUCGGCUCAUCACAUCCUGGGGCUGAAGUCGGUCCCAAGGGUAUGGCUGUUCGCCAUUUAAAGUGGUACGCGAGCUGGGUUUAGAACGUCGUGAGACAGUUCGGUCCCUAUCUGCCGUGGGCGUUGGAAGAUUGAAGGGGGCUGCUCCUAGUACGAGAGGACCGGAGUGGACGAACCUCUGGUGUUCGGGUUGUGUCGCCAGACGCAUUGCCCGGUAGCUAAGUUCGGAAUUGAUAAGCGCUGAAAGCAUCUAAGCGCGAAGCGAGCCCUGAGAUGAGUCUUCCCUGACAGUUUAACUGUCCUAAAGGGUUGUUCGAGACUAGAACGUUGAUAGGCAGGGUGUGUAAGCGUUGUGAGGCGUUGAGCUAACCUGUACUAAUUGCCCGUGAGGCUUAACCA
rnacentral:rRNA from 1 species